AUUGAAAAACUGAAAAUUAAAGAUAAACAAGAAAGUGUGUGAUUAAGUGAAUGGACGAAACAACUGCAUUACUUGAUAUCCUACGAGCUGGUGGAUGGACCGGGUACAUAGGGAACCCUACCGUGAAUGUUGUCUUAUACCGGACAGAGUAUCGAAGUUUGGUUAUUUGAGACUCAUACUGGACGGGGUAUGGACACAAUCCGUUUUACCCUCAUACCGGACGGGAUAUCGAGAUUUAGUAAUUUGACGCUCAUAUCGGGUUCACACGUUGUGAGGACAUCCCUACGAACCUCCAUGGAUACCAAUAGGCUGAUAAAAGAGAAAAUUAUUAUUCUAACCAAUUGCAUAUGAAAUCAUGAGAUGUGUUAUGUUAUUGUCUCUAUAAGUUAUUUUAUAAAUCUCAUUACGGUAAGUAGAUGGUAAAUAAUUUUAUUUAUGGU
rnacentral:lncRNA from 1 species